rnacentral:lncRNA from 1 species
UGAUGACGCAAUGUUAUUACAUGUGUUUGAAUAGAAGAAUUUUGCGGAAAUGGUAACAUCAAAUAAUUGAAUCUCAAUUUUUUGAUUGUGCUUGGAUUUCAAAACAACGGUCCGCUGGCCACGUGCUACAAAUUCAACUGUACCAUAACAUGUUCAAAUCGCAGGAGUCGAAGUAUUACAAUUUUAAGUCGCAUACAUCAUACUGCCUUGUUAAUUUAUUUCUUAUUUUCCUACUGUUGAUUGUGUGCAUUUUCUUGGUUACAUUCGCAUCAUAGUCUUGUAGAUUCUCCCUUACUUUACCUCGCAAGUGUACGUGUAACUUAUAUUUUUACUUUUGAGAAUUAUUGCAACAUGUUAUAGUUGUGUGUCUUUUGGUGCCUGUGCACAAAUGCAAAAAUAUUAGCAAUUGAGGAAAUGCAAGAAGAGUUGGCAAAGGUGCGUUGAUCAAUAUUUAACAAUAAAUGCUUCUUAAAUUUAUAUUUUAUGAUAGGAUAAAGUGAAGUGCCA